AAUCUUUCGGGAGGAAGCUUAAUAUCCUAGUGGCGGACGGGUGAGUAACGCGUGAGCAACCUACCCAUAAGUGGGGGAUAACACCGGGAAACUGGUGCUAAUACCGCAUAAGCUAUCCUCAUCGCAUGAUGGGGAUAGUAAAGAUGGCCUCUGUUACAAGCUAUCGCUUAUGGAUGGGCUCGCGUCUGAUUAGCUAGUUGGUGGGGUAACGGCCUACCAAGGCGACGAUCAGUAGCCGGCCUGAGAGGGUGUACGGCCACACUGGGACUGAGACACGGCCCAGACUCCUACGGGAGGCAGCAGUGGGGAAUAUUGCGCAAUGGGGGAAACCCUGACGCAGCGACGCCGCGUGAGCGAAGAAGGCCUUUGGGUCGUAAAGCUCUGUUGUAAGGGACGAAGGGGGUGCUGCGAAGAGUGGCACCAGGUGACGGUACCUUACGAGGAAGCCCCGGCUAACUACGUGCCAGCAGCCGCGGUAAGACGUAGGGGGCGAGCGUUGUCCGGAAUUACUGGGCGUAAAGAGCACGUAGGCGGGUGUAUAAGUCAGGUGUGAAAGACCGGAGCUCAACUUCGGGGUUGCAUCUGAUACUGUACAUCUUG
rnacentral:rRNA from 1 species